rnacentral:rRNA from 1 species
UGAACAAGGUCUCCGUUGGUGAACCAGCGGAGGGAUCAUU